rnacentral:rRNA from 1 species
UACGUAGGGUGCGAGCGUUAAUCGGAAUUACUGGGCGUAAAGCGUGCGCAGGCGGUUCGUUGUGUCGGCGGUGAAAGCCCCGGGCUUAACCUGGGAAUGGCCGUUGAAACUGGCGAACUGGAGUGUGGCAGAGGGGGGUGGAAUUCCGCGUGUAGCAGUGAAAUGCGUAGAGAUGCGGAAGAACACCCGUGGCGAAGGCGGCUCUCUGGGCCUUACCUGACGCUGAGGAGCGAAAGCGUGGGGAGCAAACAGG